GUGGCCCUGUUGGUGUCUUUGUUCCAGCCCGCCCGCCCCGAAAGGCAGGAGUCUCUCUGCCUUCAAGGAGCUGGAAACGCAGUCACAGCUCUCUCACUACAGAGGCCGGGCUUGUGGCAAACCAGGAGUCGUAUUUGUGUUUACUUUCCUGCCUUGCGCAGCUGAGCUGCACUUGAGUGACUCCCAUUAACAAGCAUGAAGUUACUUAAUGGCCUUGCCUGUCUGCUGUUUUCUGUUACGCUGCCAUCCUGUGAACGGCCUUCUGUGCUACCUCUGCUCACUCUGCCCUGAUAACACUGAAUACAGGAACUGUCUCCAUCACCCAGAACUCCCGGAACCAAGCACUCAGCCCGACACGUCAUACUUAUUAAAAACACGGAGGUCGUGAGUGGAUUUCCACGUAUUGUUCUAGAUGAUGGAAAGGCCUGAAGAGUGAGGAGUGGGGAAGAAAUGUCAUCACUGUUUUCACCCGCAUCCUUGUUUCAGAGAAGUGAAUAGUCAUUCAUCUCUGGUCAACAAAAUGAUAAUAGUAGCAGUAACAAUAAUAUUCUCUUUUUUUGAGCGCUU